GACAUAAAGUAUAUUUUAGUUUUUGUUCGUAUUAAUUAAUACUAAGUGAACGAUUUAUAAAAUUAGUGGAAAUAUAUGGUAAAAAAUGUGAGUCAGAGAAGUAAAAGAGACUGACAGUUUAAAUAAUGUUUUGGUUAGAAGGCAGACACAGUCCAGUGCUCCAUAGUAAAUUGCCUUCUAAACAAAUAAUAAGUAUGUUCACAUCAGAUAAAGAUUCAAAUAAUCCUACUCCAAGCUUACAGUUAUAGAAACUGAACAGAGAAUAAACCAAAUUAAGGAAUUAUUUACUGUAAACCUCCAAUUGAAGCUAAAUUUAUUAUUUUAUAUUUUUAGGGGACAAUGACUGAAGAUGCAUUGACAAAACAAUGAUUAGAUAUUUCAUGCUGCCCACCAGUAACCAGGCUAUUAGAGAUAGUAGUAGUAGAGAGUAGUAGUAGAUUUGAGAGGACAUCCAAAAUCAAUUAUGGAAAAUACUAAAACAAAUAAACAUGGUAAUUUCA